UGUAAGCGUAUACCAAAGUUGUUGCAGUUAAAACACUCGUAGUCGGAACUUGGCCGUUCCGGAUGUGUGCACGUCGUGUGCGCACUUUGCGGGGACGGCUUUUGUGGUCUUGCGUAGGAUGAGGCACUUUUAUUAGUGAACGUCCUCACGCAACCACUCUUUACUGUGAGAAAAUCAGAGUGCUCAAAGCAGGCAUUUGCCGUGAAUGUAUUAGCAUGGAAUAAUAGAAUAGGACUCGGUUCUAUUUUGUUGGUUUGUUGGGACUGAGUAAUGAUUAAGAGGGACAGUUGGGGGUCCCUGUAUUUCGGCGCUAGAGGUGAAAUUCUUAGAUUGCCGAAAGACAAACUGCUGCGAAAGCGUCGACCAAGGAUGUUUUCAUUGA
rnacentral:rRNA from 1 species